AGUGAACGCUGGCGGUAGGCCUAACACAUGCAAGUCGAACGGCAGCACAGUAAGAGCUUGCUCUUACGGGUGGCGAGUGGCGGACGGGUGAGGAAUACAUCGGAAUCUACUUUUUCGUGGGGGAUAACGUAGGGAAACUUACGCUAAUACCGCAUACGACCUACGGGUGAAAGCAGGGGAUCUUCGGACCUUGCGCGAUUGAAUGAGCCGAUGUCGGAUUAGCUAGUUGGCGGGGUAAAGGCCCACCAAGGCGACGAUCCGUAGCUGGUCUGAGAGGAUGAUCAGCCACAGUGGAACUGAGACAGGGUCCAGACUCCUACGGGAGGCAGCAGUGGGGAAUAUUGGACAAUGGGCGCAAGCCUGAUCCAGCCAUACCGCGUGGGUGAAGAAGGCCUUCGGGUUGUAAAGCCCUUUUGUUGGGAAAGAAAAGCAGCAGGUUAAUACCCCGCUGUUCUGACGGUACCCAAAGAAUAAGCACCGGCUAACUGCGU
rnacentral:rRNA from 1 species